rnacentral:rRNA from 1 species
GGUUAAGCGACUAAGCGUACACGGUGGAUGCCCUGGCAGUCAGAGGCGAUGAAGGACGUGCUAAUCUGCGAUAAGCGUCGGUAAGGUGAUAUGAACCGUUAUAACCGGCGAUUUCCGAAUGGGGAAACCCAGUGUGUUUCGACACACUAUCAUUAACUGAAUCCAUAGGUUAAUGAGGCGAACCGGGGGAACUGAAACAUCUAAGUACCCCGAGGAAAAGAAAUCAACCGAGAUUCCCCCAGUAGCGGCGAGCGAACGGGGAGGAGCCCAGAGCCUGAAUCAGUGUGUGUGUUAGUGGAAGCGUCUGGAAAGGCGCGCGAUACAGGGUGACAGUCCCGUACACAAAAAUGCACAUGCUGUGAGCUCGAUGAGUAGGGCGGGACACGUGGUAUCCUGUCUGAAUAUGGGGGGACCAUCCUCCAAGGCUAAAUACUCCUGACUGACCGAUAGUGAACCAGUACCGUGAGGGAAAGGCGAAAAGAACCCCGGCGAGGGGAGUGAAAAAGAACCUGAAACCGUGUACGUACAAGCAGUGGGAGCACGCUUCGGCGUGUGACUGCGUACCUUUUGUAUAAUGGGUCAGCGACUUAUAUUCUGUAGCAAGGUUAACCGAAUAGGGGAGCCGAAGGGAAACCGAGUCUUAACUGGGCGUUAAGUUGCAGGGUAUAGACCCGAAACCCGGUGAUCUAGCCAUGGGCAGGUUGAAGGUUGGGUAACACUAACUGGAGGACCGAACCGACUAAUGUUGAAAAAUUAGCGGAUGACUUGUGGCUGGGGGUGAAAGGCCAAUCAAACCGGGAGAUAGCUGGUUCUCCCCGAAAGCUAUUUAGGUAGCGCCUCGUGAAUUCAUCUCCGGGGGUAGAGCACUGUUUCGGCAAGGGGGUCAUCCCGACUUACCAACCCGAUGCAAACUGCGAAUACCGGAGAAUGUUAUCACGGGAGACACACGGCGGGUGCUAACGUCCGUCGUGAAGAGGGAAACAACCCAGACCGCCAGCUAAGGUCCCAAAGUCAUGGUUAAGUGGGAAACGAUGUGGGAAGGCCCAGACAGCCAGGAUGUUGGCUUAGAAGCAGCCAUCAUUUAAAGAAAGCGUAAUAGCUCACUGGUCGAGUCGGCCUGCGCGGAAGAUGUAACGGGGCUAAACCAUGCACCGAAGCUGCGGCAGCGACACUAUGUGUUGUUGGGUAGGGGAGCGUUCUGUAAGCCUGUGAAGGUGUACUGUGAGGUAUGCUGGAGGUAUCAGAAGUGCGAAUGCUGACAUAAGUAACGAUAAAGCGGGUGAAAAGCCCGCUCGCCGGAAGACCAAGGGUUCCUGUCCAACGUUAAUCGGGGCAGGGUGAGUCGACCCCUAAGGCGAGGCCGAAAGGCGUAGUCGAUGGGAAACAGGUUAAUAUUCCUGUACUUGGUGUUACUGCGAAGGGGGGACGGAGAAGGCUAUGUUGGCCGGGCGACGGUUGUCCCGGUUUAAGCGUGUAGGCUGGUUUUCCAGGCAAAUCCGGAAAAUCAAGGCUGAGGCGUGAUGACGAGGCACUACGGUGCUGAAGCAACAAAUGCCCUGCUUCCAGGAAAAGCCUCUAAGCAUCAGGUAACAUCAAAUCGUACCCCAAACCGACACAGGUGGUCAGGUAGAGAAUACCAAGGCGCUUGAGAGAACUCGGGUGAAGGAACUAGGCAAAAUGGUGCCGUAACUUCGGGAGAAGGCACGCUGAUAUGUAGGUGAAGUCCCUCGCGGAUGGAGCUGAAAUCAGUCGAAGAUACCAGCUGGCUGCAACUGUUUAUUAAAAACACAGCACUGUGCAAACACGAAAGUGGACGUAUACGGUGUGACGCCUGCCCGGUGCCGGAAGGUUAAUUGAUGGGGUUAGCGGUAACGCGAAGCUCUUGAUCGAAGCCCCGGUAAACGGCGGCCGUAACUAUAACGGUCCUAAGGUAGCGAAAUUCCUUGUCGGGUAAGUUCCGACCUGCACGAAUGGCGUAAUGAUGGCCAGGCUGUCUCCACCCGAGACUCAGUGAAAUUGAACUCGCUGUGAAGAUGCAGUGUACCCGCGGCAAGACGGAAAGACCCCGUGAACCUUUACUAUAGCUUGACACUGAACAUUGAGCCUUGAUGUGUAGGAUAGGUGGGAGGCUUUGAAGUGUGGACGCCAGUCUGCAUGGAGCCGACCUUGAAAUACCACCCUUUAAUGUUUGAUGUUCUAACGUUGGCCCCUGAUCGGGGUUGCGGACAGUGUCUGGUGGGUAGUUUGACUGGGGCGGUCUCCUCCUAAAGAGUAACGGAGGAGCACGAAGGUUGGCUAAUCCUGGUCGGACAUCAGGAGGUUAGUGCAAUGGCAUAAGCCAGCUUGACUGCGAGCGUGACGGCGCGAGCAGGUGCGAAAGCAGGUCAUAGUGAUCCGGUGGUUCUGAAUGGAAGGGCCAUCGCUCAACGGAUAAAAGGUACUCCGGGGAUAACAGGCUGAUACCGCCCAAGAGUUCAUAUCGACGGCGGUGUUUGGCACCUCGAUGUCGGCUCAUCACAUCCUGGGGCUGAAGUAGGUCCCAAGGGUAUGGCUGUUCGCCAUUUAAAGUGGUACGCGAGCUGGGUUUAGAACGUCGUGAGACAGUUCGGUCCCUAUCUGCCGUGGGCGCUGGAGAACUGAGGGGGGCUGCUCCUAGUACGAGAGGACCGGAGUGGACGCAUCACUGGUGUUCGGGUUGUCAUGCCAAUGGCACUGCCCGGUAGCUAAAUGCGGAAGAGAUAAGUGCUGAAAGCAUCUAAGCACGAAACUUGCCCCG